rnacentral:rRNA from 1 species
AACGAACGCUGGCGGCAUGCCUAACACAUGCAAGUCGAACGAAGGCUUCGGCCUUAGUGGCGCACGGGCGCGUAACGCGUGGGAAUCUGCCCUUUGGUUCGGAAUAACAGCUGGAAACGGCUGCUAAUACCGGAUGAUGACGAAAGUCCAAAGAUUUAUCGCCAGAGGAUGAGCCCGCGUUGGAUUAGGUAGUUGGUGGGGUAAAGGCCUACCAAGCCGACGAUCCAUAGCUGGUCUGAGAGGAUGAUCAGCCACACUGGGACUGAGACACGGCCCAGACUCCUACGGGAGGCAGCAGUGGGGAAUAUUGGACAAUGGGCGCAAGCCUGAUCCAGCAAUGCCGCGUGAGUGAUGAAGGCCAUAGGGUUGUAAAGCUCUUUUACCCGGGAAGAUAAUGACUGUACCGGGAGAAUAAGCCCCGGCUAACUCCGUG